rnacentral:rRNA from 1 species
UGAGUAACACGUGGAUAACCUACCUAUAAGACUGGGAUAACUUCGGGAAACCGGAGCUAAUACCGGAUAAUAUUUUGAACCGCAUGGUUCAAAAGUGAAAGACGGUCUUGCUGUCACUUAUAGAUGGAUCCGCGCUGCAUUAGCUAGUUGGUAAGGUAACGGCUUACCAAGGCAACGAUGCAUAGCCGACCUGAGAGGGUGAUCGGCCACACUGGAACUGAGACACGGUCCAG